AUUGAACGCUGGCGGCAGGCCUAACACAUGCAAGUCGAGCGGAUGAAGGGAGCUUGCUCCUGGAUUCAGCGGCGGACGGGUGAGUAAUGCCUAGGAAUCUGCCUGGUAGUGGGGGAUAACGUCCGGAAACGGGCGCUAAUACCGCAUACGUCCUGAGGGAGAAAGUGGGGGAUCUUCGGACCUCACGCUAUCAGAUGAGCCUAGGUCGGAUUAGCUAGUUGGUGGGGUAAAGGCCUACCAAGGCGACGAUCCGUAACUGGUCUGAGAGGAUGAUCAGUCACACUGGAACUGAGACACGGUCCAGACUCCUACGGGAGGCAGCAGUGGGGAAUAUUGGACAAUGGGCGAAAGCCUGAUCCAGCCAUGCCGCGUGUGUGAAGAAGGUCUUCGGAUUGUAAAGCACUUUAAGUUGGGAGGAAGGGCAGUAAGUUAACACCUUGCUGUUUCGACGUUACCAACAGAAUAAGCACCGGCUAACUUCGUG
rnacentral:rRNA from 1 species